CCUAUGCAUAGUGGUUAAGUGCUUUGGCUGCUAACCAAAGGAUCGGCAGUUCGAAUCCGCCAGG
rnacentral:tRNA from 1 species